UCACCUUUUGACUUUUCCAUUUUUCCAUUUCUUUUUUUUAUUUAUUUUUUUAUUAGUUCUUUAAUUUAAUUCUUGAUUCCGAAAUUUUCGUUUUUCCGAUUUUAUUGGGCAGUUAGGUCAGGAGUCACCUAUAGGGGUGAUUUGACUAAAUUGCCCCUCGUCGGUCUGAUCCAAUUUGCAAGUAGUUUGAUAUUUCUUCUGGAUCCCUGACCU
rnacentral:misc_RNA from 1 species